rnacentral:rRNA from 1 species
UACGUAGGUGGCAAGCGUUGUCCGGAAUUAUUGGGCGUAAAGCGCGCGCAGGCGGUCCCUUAAGUCUGAUGUGAAAGUCCACGGCUCAACCGUGGAGGGUCAUUGGAAACUGGGGGACUUGAGUACAGAAGAGGAAAGCGGAAUUCCACGUGUAGCGGUGAAAUGCGUAGAGAUGUGGAGGAACACCAGUGGCGAAGGCGGCUUCUGGUCUGUAACUGACGCUGAGGCGCGAAAGCGUGGGAGCAAACAGG